UACGAAGGGGGCUAGCGUUGCUCGGAAUCACUGGGCGUAAAGGGUGCGUAGGCGGGUCUUUAAGUCAGGGGUGAAAUCCUGGAGCUCAACUCCAGAACUGCCUUUGAUACUGAAGAUCUUGAGUUCGGGAGAGGUGAGUGGAACUGCGAGUGUAGAGGUGAAAAUUCGUAGAUAUUCGCAAGAACACCAGUGGCGAAGGCGGCUCACUGGCCCGAUACUGACGCUGAGGC
rnacentral:rRNA from 1 species